UCUCUCUCUCUCACUCUUUCUCUCACACCCGCUCUCCCUCUCCAUCUUUCUCUUCCAUGCACAAGGAAAACAUUUUUAUAAUCUUUCUUGCAUGUGCUCUCUCACUCUCUAUCUCUCACCCCUUUCCCCCUCUCCCUCUCUCUCUGACUGGGGUGGAUGAGGUCAUGCCAUGCUAGGCUUUAUGAUAUGGCACAAAGGUGAAAAUUCUCCUUAUCGAGUGAUGGAAUGGACCGUGAACAUUAUACAUAAGCAUUUAGUCUACAGUUAUGGAAAUAAAAUUAGAGUGUCACAUAUUUACAACACAUACACGUUAUUAUAUAUUUUUUUACACACACACUAGUAAUAACUUUAGUACAAAUCUAGUCAAUUAGUCUUCAGCCAUGGUAUGUUUUUUACACAAGUUAACCCUUCGAGUGUUCCAUGUCUCGCUGGGUGGUGGUGUGAUUAACCCGCUCGGCUAUGGGAAAGCUGAGAAGUGGCCGAGAAACGACAAAAUUACACUGCAUUUUGAGACUAUGAAAAGAGCAUGGAAUGUACAUCAGAGUACUCCUCUCAUAACCAUAAAGCCGUUAAAAAUAUUUACUUGUACUCAAACUCCAUUCUUUUUGGGUGGUGUUUGUUACAAAAUAAACAGUCUCGUGACACGUGGCAUCUAGCCAAGAGUCACUUGUUGUCUACCAUAGAGAAUUUGACGAGUGAUUACUGUAUGGAUAGCUGAUUCAGUAUGCCAUGACCUUACAGCACCACCUAUGACAAAAAAGCCCACCUCAAGAUCACUCACCCACCACAAUGACCCGGGGCAUUCAUGGUGGAUUGCACUAUGCCACCAGCACCUACAAUUAGCUCAAGUUAGGUGUUUUAUGGCGAGCCCUUUUUAGGGUCCACCGUACCACACCCACAACUCGUGAAAGCCCUAAAAAGGGUCUGCCGACGUUCUCGGAUUAAGGGGGGUGUCUGCCAGUCCCUACACGUCAUGGCAAUUAGUAUUCGCAUCGGGGAAUAUAACAACAACCAUCCGUCGCUAUUCGUUUCGGUUACGUCCCUAAAGAGAUUUGUAAAGUGUUCCACCGUGUACCAAUAGUGUGUUUAGGUUAUGUCCCUAAAGAGAUUGAUUUGUAAAGUGUUCCACCGUGUACCAAUAGUGUGUUUAGGUUAUGUCCCUAAAGAGAUUGAUAUGUAAAGUGUUCCACCGUGUACCAAUAGUGUGUUUAGGUUAUGUCCCUAAAGAGAUUGAUUUGUAAAGUGUUCCACCUUGUACCAAUAGUGUGUUUAGGUUAUGUCCCUAAAGAGAUUGAUUUGUAAAGUGUUCCACCUUGUACCAAUAGUGUGUUUAGGUUAUGUCCCUAAAGAGAUUGAUU